rnacentral:rRNA from 1 species
UGGGGAAUUUUGGACAAUGGGCGAAAGCCUGAUCCAGCAAUGCCGCGUGCAGGAUGAAGGCCUUCGGGUUGUAAACUGCUUUUGUACGGAACGAAAAGUCUCGGGAUAAUACCCUGGGACCAUGACGGUACCGUAAGAAUAAGCACCGGCUAACUACGUGCCAGCAGCCGCGGUAAUACGUAGGGUGCAAGCGUUAAUCGGAAUUACUGGGCGUAAAGCGUGCGCAGGCGGUUAUAUAAGACAGAUGUGAAAUCCCCGGGCUCAACCUGGGAACUGCAUUUGUGACUGUAUAGCUAGAGUACGGUAGAGGGGGAUGGAAUUCCGCGUGUAGCAGUGAAAUGCGUAGAUAUGCGGAGGAACACCGAUGGCGAAGGCAAUCCCCUGGACCUGUACUGACGCUCAUGCACGAAAGCGUGGGGAGCAAACA